UUGUCGGCGUAACGGCGGAAUCCGGCGCGGCGGAGUGGACAGAAAACCGCUCAAUUGAAAAGAAACGCUAAAACCCUUCGUCUUGUUUUCUUCCAACCAUAAACCACAUCUCCAAUUUUCUCGGCAGGGAAUGGGUUGACAUCAAAACGACGCCGUAUUAGUGUUUUGAUUAUGGGGGUGUUUCCGUAAUUUAUUGUAAUCAGAGUUGAGGCCUGAAUUACCUGAAUCUUCUCCGCCGAAUUACGAACCCUAACAAGACUACGCUCCCUGCAUCGAGACGGAGGAGCUCAGUGACGCCCUGUUGUCCGUCGGAAUCUUGGUAUCAUUACUGGUACUUCUUCUUAUUCUUAUUUUAAUUGAUUAGGUUGCUGAUUGGUCGCAUGAUUAAAUUAGUUGCCUGCGCAGAGUUUGUACUGGUGAAUUAUGAAAAGGGGGAUUCCAUGGAGUGACGAUGAAGGUAAAGGGUCGUCAGAUUCCGACGAUGAAUCGUCGUCCUCGUCGGCAUCGGAUUCUGAGAAUGAGAUUGCCAAAACCAAGACGAAAUCCAAGAACGCAUCUAAAGGUACCCUGUCAUAUCUGGUUACAUAUCUGGUUUCUCGCUUACAACUGACUUGUCAACUUGAAAUCCUUGGUUAAAAGAUGUUACAGCCUUCUUCAAAUUACAAGUUCAAUUUUUAGCUGUUGGGAUUGAAUAGAUGAGUUAAAAGAAUCAAUUUGCCACUCCAAAGCCACUAUUUUUGCUGAUCUUAAGUGCAAUUUUACAACGAAUCAGAGAGCCAUUGUUUUCUUUUGCUGUAAACUUAGUUUGACUUUAGUUUUGUGAUGGGUGAUUACUUAUUAGAAUGUCUUUGAUGUGGAUUCUAUAGGCAAGGCUGCAAAGCGUAGGGGUGGAGUUGUGGACUUUGAGGACCUAAGGCGACAUGGAUACAAAGGUGCACCAUCAGUCCUGAGAAUGCCACCACCUAAAGACGACACUGAGCCGAACUGGACCUGG
rnacentral:lncRNA from 1 species